rnacentral:rRNA from 1 species
UACGUAGGCACCAAGCGUUGUCCGGCUUCAUUGGGCGUAAAGGGUGCGUAGGCGGCGCGGUAAGUCGGGUGUGAAAUCUCGGAGCUUAACUCCGAAACUGCAUUCGAUACUGCCGUGCUUGAGGACUGGAGAGGAGACUGGAAUUUACGGUGUAGCGGUGAAAUGCGUAGAUAUCGUAAGGAAGACCAGUGGCGAAGGCGGGUCUCUGGACAGUUCCUGACGCUGAGGCACGAAGGUCAGGGGAGCAAACGGG